rnacentral:rRNA from 1 species
UACGUAGGGUGCAAGCGUUGUCCGGAAUUAUUGGGCGUAAAGGGCUCGUAGGCGGCCAACUAAGUCGGAUGUGAAAUCCCCAGGCUUAACCUGGGAACUGCAUCCGAUACUGGAUGGCUUGAAUCCGGGAGAGGGAUGCAGAAUUCCAGGUGUAGCGGUGAAAUGCGUAGAUAUCUGGAGGAAUACCGGUGGCGAAGGCGGCAUCCUGGACCGGCAUUGACGCUGAGGAGCGAAAGCUAGGGGAGCAAACGGGG